GGACGUGCAAGCAAUCUGGCUAGGAUGCGUGCCACCUCUUUAAUUCACAGGAUGGAAUCAACUGCUAGGUGGUUGUCAUCUUGCUCCCUCACCACCCCACGUAUAGCCCUCCCCAAGCUGUGAAGUCAGUCUAGGAGGUUGACUGACUUCAAGUAGGGGAGGACCAUUCUUCUUUCAAGGGUGUAUUAUGAUUAUUUGUCCUUCCCCUGAUAGAACAUCCAAACAAGCUGUCUGGGAAAAGCCAUCUUUCCGCAUAGCCCUGUAUCCUCAUGAUGCUUAUGCCUGGGAGCAAGG
rnacentral:snRNA from 1 species